rnacentral:lncRNA from 1 species
CUGUUGUCAUUUUCAUCAUCUGCAUCAUAUUCAACGCACUUGCUGGACCGGGAACUGGUCCUUUUCGGAACAACACUGGAGCGAUAUCAGAUAAAUACAAUACAGAAAUCACUCCCUCGGGAUGGACCUUCUCAAUCUGGGGUGUCAUCUACACUUGGCUGUCACUCAUGCAUGUUUACAUCCUCACCACUACCUGCAGGAGGUAAGAACUCAGUGAGCUAGAAUCAAAUGGUAAUCAAAAAAUAAAGUGGCAUGAAAUGUGAUUUUGUAAUAAUAACAUGCUGCAGUUAAUGAGACGAUUAUGUAUAUUGUGCUCACAGGACUGUUUAUGGUCCAAUGUACUGCAGUCCUGCUGUGUUGCCAUAUGGAUUCUUCAUAACCUGGAUUGUAAACAUGCUGCUAAAUAUAAUCUGGCUUCUUCUGUGGGACAGACAGUGAUGAUUGCUGCAUUCAUUAUCCUUGCCUUGAUUGCCUUCACAAACUAUUUGCUGAUAAUCUUCUCCUGUCAUGGACUCAAACAAUAUGGAGCCUGGUUAAACAAAUAUCACAAAGUAGACCUCUGGUGCAUACGGAUAUUGGUUCAGAAUGGCAUUGCAACAUACACAACAUGGACAACAAUUGCCACUCCCUUGAGUGGAAACAUGACCAAGAACUUUAAAUCUGCAGAUCCAAGCCGCAGCGGCAUUUACAUAGGUGAGCAUGAAUGUGAUAAUGGCUUUGCCGUUGUGUUCUUAAUCUGUUGUGCCAUAUUUCAUGACAACAAUAUUUUGUUAUUUUCCACAGCUGUUUUACUGGGGUUGACUUGUACACUAUUUGCGAUCAAAGUGUUGCUGGUUAUAUGGAGGCACAUUAAACAUCCUCUCUACAAAGGCAUGAAUGUAGAGGAGGCGAUAUCACCAAUGGAAAUUGCUGAAA